CAAAUGAAGUGCAGCUGACACAAUGUGGAUGAGUGAGUGAGGAGCAGCAGCUGGACAAAAAUAUCCAUUUAGAAAGAAGAUGAUUGUCUGUUCACCUUUUUUCUGCUCCUGAAUCUUUUGACUGGGUUAUUGUCACUAAAGCUUAAAGAUGUAGCAGCAAACACAGACUCCUAGCCUGUCCCUUAGGAGCCAAUUGACGCAAUCUUCUAUCUCAUGUCUCUCUACACUGGUAGUCUGUCUUCUCCUCUGUAAGAGGGAUACUACUAUCAUAGGUUACCUGUAACGUAGGUUACGUGUUAUGUCAUGGCUUUGCAGGCCAACUUCAACUCCAUUCACCAGACAGGUGCGGACGAUUAAAAGAUGCAUUGUGAUCUGAUCUUCCAGACCUCGGAGGUAGUCAGGCACUCAUUGGUCGAGAUCCCCUGCUCAAACGUUGCGUGGGCAUCAACCAAUGGUUGUGUGCCACGUCUUCGACUGUCAUCGACGGACAGAUUGCCACAAUGUAUGAUGUAUACAUGUUCUUUCGUCCGGCAGCAGUCAGCAACGCCUGAGGAUAUGGACAGUGAAACCAUUUAAAUAACCAUGAUCCCGCCUCUUAAUCACUGCCAGGUGGCACAAUUGAUUUAUGACAUCAAUAUCUGUCUUAAAAUAAAUAAAUACAUAUUAUUGAAGAAGACACAGUCAUACUGUAACGUUGGUGUUUUACUCAAUAAAUUACUGAGAGUUUAUAUUUAUAUAGAAUGUGCGACUCUCAAAAUAAUUUUA